rnacentral:rRNA from 1 species
AGCAGUCGCCACGGGAAUACGUAGGGUGCAAGCGUUAAUCGGAAUUACUGGGCGUAAAGCGUGCGCAGGCGGCUUGGUAAGUUAGAGGUGAAAGCCCGGAGCUCAACUCCGGAAUUGCCUUUAAGACUGCCGAGCUAGUAGGUGAGAGAGGUAAGUGGAAUUCCGAGUGUAGAGGUGAAAUUCGUAGAUAUUCGGAAGAACACCAGUGGCGAAGGCGGCUUACUGGCUCAUUCUAGACGCUGAGGUGCGAAAGCGUGGGGAGCAAACAGGAUUAGAUACCCCUGUAGUCCCUGUCUCUUAUAC